rnacentral:rRNA from 1 species
AGUACCGUGAGGGAAAGGUGAAAAGAACCGCGGGAGCGGAGUGAAAGAGAACCUGAAACCGUAUGCCUACAAGAAGUCAGAGCCCGUUAAGGGGUGAUGGCGUGCCUUUUGUAGAAUGAACCGGCGAGUUGCGACAGACUGCGAGGUUAAGGAGGAAAGACCGGAGCCGAAGCGAAAGCGAGUCUUAAUAGGGCGAAAGUAGGAUGUUGCAGACCCGAAACCGGGUGAUCUAGCCAUGAGCAGGUUGAAGUUGAGGUGAAACUCAAUGGAGGACCGAACCGACUACCGUUGAAAAGUUAGCGGAUGACUUGUGGCUAGGGGAGAAAUUCCAAUCGAACCCGGAGAUAGCUGGUUCUCCCCGAAAUAGCUUUAGGGCUAGCGUCGGAAAGAACCUUAGUGAAGGUAGAGCACUGAAUGUGUGAUGGCCCCAUCCCGGGGUACUGAAUACAAUCAAACUGCGAAUGUCAUUAAGGAUGUCCGGCAGUCAGACUGUGAGUGAUAAGGUCCAUGGUCAAGAGGGAAACAGCCCAGACCGCCAGUUAAGGUCCCAAAAUACAGGCUAAGUGGAAAAGGAUGUGGGGAUGCCCAGACAACUAGGAGGUUGGCUCAGAAGCAGCCAUCCUUUAAAGAGUGCGUAACAGCUCACUAGUCGAGUGACCCUGCGCCGAAAAUGUACCGGGGCUAAGCCUGAUACCGAAACUGCGGAUUGUAGGAAACUAUAGUGGUAGGGGAGCGUUGUAUACGAGUAGAAGCCGUACCGUGAGGAGCGGUGGAUUGUAUAGAAGUGAGAAUGCCGGUGUGAGUAGCGAGAUGUAGGUGAGAAUCCUACACACCGAAAGCCCAAGGAUUCCAGGGGAAGGUUCGUCCGCCCUGGGUAAGUCGGGACCUAACGCGAGGCCGAAAGGCGUAGUGGAUGGAAAGCAGGCGAAAGAUUCCUGCACCCGUAUAUGGAGCGAAGGAGUGACGGAGACGGAUAGUGUGACCCUCUUAAUGGAUUGAGGGCGAAGCGAAGCGGCUGGUUACCAGGCAAAUCCGGUAACUGAAAGGCUAGAGCGUGAUAGGUAAGCGAAAUCUUAGGAAAGUAGCGAAGCACAUGAUGACGGCUUCCAGGAAAAGCUUCUGGCAAUGCAUAUGCGGCCCGUACCAAAACCGACACAGGUGGGCAGGGAGAGAAUCCCGAGGUGAGCGAGAGAACUGUUGCCAAGGAACUCGGCAAAAUGACUCCGUAAGUUAGCGAGAAGGAGUGCUUAAGCAAUUAAGCCGCAGUGAAGAGGCCCAAGCGACUGUUUAACUAAAACACAGCUCUCUGCGAAGUCGCAAGACGAAGUAUAGGGGGUGACACCUGCCCGGUGCUGGAAGGUUAAGAGGAUCUGUUAAGAGUGAUCUGAAGCAGUGAUCCGAAGCCCCAGUGAACGGCGGCCGUAACUAUAACGGUCCUAAGGUAGCGAAAUUCCUUGUCAGGUAAGUUCUGACCCGCA